GAGGAGGGUACCCCGCCGGAAGCCCCCUGCUCUGUGGGAACCGGAGGGAGGACAGCGCGAGGUCCCCGGACAAAGCGUGGCGCAUAAGUCCGGCCCGUAACUUGGUGGGCAGGCAACUUAGGGGAUGUGGGCCUGGUUAUAGCUGAGCAUGCUUUUCUAUUCCUCCCAGACCACAGUUCUUCAGACCUGGAGCCACUUUCAGAGAAGAGUAUAAGUUGCACUGAAUUGAAAAAGGGAAAAGUUUAGGACUGCAGAAGAUGGAAUUCCUGGGGACGUUAAACUGGGCUAAGAUGGAGCAGAUAAGAUUUCCUUAAUUAGAGCAAGACACACCUAGUAUCUAGAGCCUGGAAGUCUUGGUCAAGGAUUCUCCCUAACAUCUCAGUUUCUCAGCACUAACAUUCCUGCUACUAAAAUGAAGUGAGAAAUUAAUUUCUGAAGUUAAGUAAAGAAAUAAACUAAAAUUCCUAGAAAAGAGGUAAGAAGAAUGAGCCUUUGAAAAAUGUCUUCACAAAGACUGGCAUGAUGGCAUGGAAGAAAGAGCCCCAGAUAUCCAGUAUACAUCUCAAGGUCAACUUGUCCAAAACAGAGCUACUGAUGAUUUUCCCCUUGAAAUCUACUCUUCCUACAGCUUAUUCAUCUCAAAUACUGAAUUUUGGCAAUGGUGACCCUGCCUCAAUCAUGCAAAAGAGAUGAAUGUCCUUGCAAAUGACAAAGGACUAAGAUGGAAGGAGUUUGGAUCUGUGAAUCACUACAUGGAGAAAAGCCAUCUGCUGACCUAGAAACUUACUCUGGAUGAGAUGAGAAAUGAAUUUAUUGUUCUUUAAGAUGCUGAAUUUUGGAGGUUUAUUUUUUCUAUCCACAUAGCCACCGUUAUUAACAUGGGGUGGGAGUCAGAGAGUGACACUAGAAACAGGACUAUUUUAAUAAACCAGGUAAGAGAUGAUGAAUACUGGCCAGGCACAGUGGCUCACGCCUGUAAUCCCAGCACUU
rnacentral:lncRNA from 1 species